GCAGCCGGUGUUGUGGGCGGUGAUGGUGUCGCUGGCGGCGGUGUGGCGUUCGUUCGGGGUGGACCCGGCUGCG
rnacentral:tRNA from 1 species